CCCCACCUCUCACUCCAGUCCUCACUGCCUGUGGUGAAGCUAAUCUCUCCCAUCUCUCACUACAGCAUUAACAGCCUGAAGGAGAUCUGUGACUUCUUUCUGGCUGUGAGUGACAACUGGCAUCCAACACUCAUAAGACAAACUGAAUAAAUGAUACAAAUUGGAAAAAAAAUAAUAUUAAGUGCAAAAGAAGAAUAAAUGAUAGGUCAGAA